UACGUAGGCAGCAAGCGUUGUUCGGAAUUACUGGGCGUAAAGAGUGUGUAGGCGGUGCUCUAAGUUUGGUGUGAAAUCUCCCGGCUCAACCGGGAGGCUGCAUCGAAUACUGGAAUGCUAGAGGGUGGGAGAGGUAAGCGGAAUUCCUGGUGUAGCGGUGAAAUGCGUAGAUAUCGGGAGGAAGGCCGGUGGCGAAGGCGGCGCUCUGGAACGUUUCUGACACUGAGGCUCGAAAGCGUGGGGAGCAAACAGG
rnacentral:rRNA from 1 species